rnacentral:rRNA from 1 species
CCCUUAGAUGUUCUGGGCCGCACGCGCGCUACACUGAUGCAUUCAACGAGUCUAAAACCUGGUCUGAUAGGGCUGGGUAAUCCUUUGAAUGUGCAUCGUGAUUGGGAUAGAUGAUUGCAAUUCUUCAUCUUCAACGAGGAAUGCCUAGUAAACGCAAGUCAUCAGCUUGCAUUGAUUAUGUUCCUGCCCUUUGUACACACCGCCCGUCGCUCCUACCGAUUGAAUGUUCCGAUGAAUACCAUGGACUGAGAGUAUGAAUGGGUUCGCCUAUUUCUGCUUCUCGGGAAGUGGAGUAAAUCUUAACAUUUAGAGGAAGGAGAAGUCGUAACA